rnacentral:tmRNA from 1 species
UCGCGUGGGCUCGGUGUUGUGUAUUAUAGACUAGUAAGAUCCCUUAAUUCCCUGCACAGUGUAGGGAACGAGACAUCUCCCCAUUGCCCCGUUCCGAGACGUUUGGACAAGGAGGUGCAGAGAAAUUCGGAAAUAGGAGAGACGGAGUUCUGACGUCGCUCCGAGAUUUAAGGACUAAGGGCAAGGUUGGCUGUCGUGGGCCUGCCUUACCUCGAAAACCAAUCCACAGACUAAGCAUGUAGAAAGCCCAUUGGUUCCACGUUUGGACGAGGGUUCAAUCCCCUCCAGCUCCACAA